GAUCUGGUCUCCACCCCGCAGAGGAGGUCACCUCCCAAAAGGAGGAGUUCCAUGAACACUAUCAACACUGCACCAGGAGUUAUUCAACAGAGACCUCAAAGGAAGAGAUCCUGUAAUUGAUGCUGGGCCAGGCAGCACAACUCCUCCAGCUACUGCAGACGUGAGGCAUCUGCAUUAGAAAAGCUUAGAAAACAGGAGAAGAAAGCAGAAAAUCAAGCAGAAAAGGAGGAAGAGCAUUAGCUGAUAGAAGGAGACAGAUUUAAAACGAAAGGCAAUAAUGGAAGGAUAAAAGAGAAUAUAAAUUUGAA